GAUGAACGCUGGCGGCGUGCUUAACACAUGCAAGUCGAACGAACAGGCCAUGCUUUUGUGCGUUGCUCGAGUGCCGCACGGGUGAGUAACACGUGAGUAAACUGCCCUUGUCUUUGUGAUAACUUCUGGAAACUCCGGCUAAUACCGCAUAGGAUCUCCUGCUCCAUGUUGGUGGUUGGAAAGUUUCGGCGGUUGGGGCUGGACUCGCGGCUUACCAGCUUGUUGGUGGGGUUGUGGCUUACCAAGGCUUUGAAGGGUACCCGGCCUGCGAGGUUGACCGGGCACAAUGGGACUGAGGUACGGACCAGAAUGCUACGGGAGGCAGUAGGGGGGAGUAUUGCACAAUGGGCGGAAGGGUGAUGCAGCAACGUCGCGUGCGGGAUGACGGGUUACGGGUUGUAAACAGCUUUGGCCUGUGACGAAGAGUGAGUGACGGUAAUGGGUAAAGAAGCAACGGCUAACUACGUG
rnacentral:rRNA from 1 species